GAUGAACGCUCGCUACAGGCUUAACACAUGCAAGUCGAGGGGAAACGACAUCGAAAGCUUGCUUUUGAUGGGCGUCGACCGGCGCACGGGUGAGUAACGCGUAUCCAACCUGCCCAUCACUUGGGAAUAACCUUGCGAAAGUAAGACUAAUACCCAAUGACAUCCCACGAAGACAUCUGAAUGGGAUUAAAGAUUUAUCGGUGAUGGAUGGGGAUGCGUCUGAUUAGCUUGUUGGCGGGGUAACGGCCCACCAAGGCAACGAUCAGUAGGGGUUCUGAGAGGAAGGUCCCCCACAUUGGAACUGAGACACGGUCCAAACUCCUACGGGAGGCAGCAGUGAGGAAUAUUGGUCAAUGGGCGAGAGCCUGAACCAGCCAAGUAGCGUGCAGGAGGACGGCCCUAUGGGUUGUAAACUGCUUUUAUAAGGGAAUAAAGUGGGUCUCGUGAGACUUUUUGCAUGUACCUUAUGAAUAAGAACCGGCUAAUUCCGUG
rnacentral:rRNA from 1 species